AUGUGUUGUAAUGGCGGCCUUUUCAUUGUCACCGGCGUCGGCACGGCUGAAUCCGCGACGCAUCGCCGCCAUCCCGUCUUGGCCGGCGCCGGGGGUUUGCUCUAGGGGCACAGGCGACCCAGCGGGGACUUCAGUCUGGCCUAUUUUCUGGAAAGUCGAGAGGCUUGUGGAGAAGAGCGCUUGGAGGACUGGCUUUGGGCCUGCAGUCUCACAGAAAGUUCUCCGCUCCCAGACAUGGGUCCCUCGGCUUCCUGCCUCGGAAGCGCAGCAGCAGGCAUCGUGGGAAGGUGAAGAGCUUCCCUAAGGAUGACCCGUCCAAGCCGGUCCACCUCACAGCCUUCCUGGGAUACAAGGCUGGCAUGACUCACAUCGUGCGGGAAGUCGACAGGCCAGGAUCCAAGGUGAACAAGAAGGAGGUGGUGGAGGCUGUGACCAUUGUAGAGACACCACCCAUGGUGGUUGUGGGCAUUGUGGGCUACGUGGAAACCCCUCGAGGCCUCCGGACCUUCAAGACUGUCUUUGCUGAGCACAUCAGUGAUGAAUGCAAGAGGCGUUUCUAUAAGAAUUGGUAAGGGAGGAGGCCAUGCAGUCCCUAGCUGGGGAGCUUGGGAGCUGGAGAGCAGGGAGCAGCGU
rnacentral:sRNA from 1 species